CACUCAAUAGCACAUGGUGUGCACUUGCUUGCUGUUCAGAGUCCUAAAGGAAUUGCUAUGCGAGAGGUCCUCGUUCGAUUCGGGGUCGGGUGA